UAACCUUUGACCUGAUUGAAUCCAGUGGC
rnacentral:piRNA from 1 species